AGUGCCUUCAAAACCGCCCACACGUCCACACAUAUCUCCUUAUUCUAGAAUCUGCAAGUUGACCUUAAAACUUCAUGUUUUUCUACACAACCAGAAACUGAUCGUCUCCGCUCUCCGCUACCAUUUCUCUAAGAUAAUUUAAAGACAAAAAAGGAGAGUUUAAAGGAUGGAGAAUCUGAUCAUAUUGCAGCUCAGACAUUUACAUUUCUUGAAUUGGCAACUGCAACAAAGAAUUUCAGGACAGAUUGUUUAGUUGGUGAAGGUGGUUGUGGUAGAGUUUAUAAAGGGAGAUUGGAAAGUAAAAACCAGGUUCGCCGUGUUCGGAUAAGUUGCUGCUAUCAAGCAAUUUGAUCGGAAUGGAUGUCAAGGAAGCAUGGAAUUCCUUAUUGAGGGUAUUGUGCUAUGGAGAUGAAAGACUUCUAGUCUAUGAAUUCGUGGCUUUAGGAUCUUUAGAAGAUCAUCUACAUGAAAUUGCAGCUGGUGCAGCUAAAGGAUUGGAUUAUUUGCGGGACAAGGCAAACCCCUGUUAUAUAAUCAUGAGAUUUAAAAUGCUCAAAUAGAUUGCUUGGGGAGGAAUACCAUCCUAAAUUAUCUAAUUUUGGGAUAGCCGAACUGGGUCUUGUUGGGAACAACACUCAUGUGUCCACUAGAGGUAUGAGCACAUAUGGUUAUCGUGCACCGGAGUAUGCAAUUACUGGCCAACUUAUGUUAAAAUCCGAUGUUUAUAGCUUCCGGGCUGUACUAUUGGAGAUCUUAACUGGCACAAAAGCAAUAGGCAAUUCGAAAUCCGCAGGGGAGCAUAAUCUUGUUGCAUGCGUAAGAUAACAUGUUGAUCCCAUUUUCUUUAGCUCUUUCUCUGUCAUAUAGACUAGACAUUUACAUAAUAGGUUAUACAUAGGCAUCACCGGUUCAUCGAUAGAGAAAUGCAGUAGUUCAUUCAGUUAAUUUAAAAAUAAAAUUCCUCAUUUCUUGUCUCAAAAGUGACAAGUUUUUGUGUGUCUGAAUGGAUUUGGGAAAUAGGAAACGGCUCACCAGUUGUACUUUUUAUGGUUGACCAUUCAAUAAUUGAGCCCUCCACUUUGCACUUGCAUUGUGUUCUGCUUCGUACUUUUAUUUUCUUGCGUAUUUACUUUGAAAUGUUCCUUGUUACCUAAAUGCACGUUGAUCCUCUGUCAACGCCCAAAACCUUCUGCAGUACCCCUGUUUUAAUUAGGUUGUUGCAUUUCUUCUUACAGUUGUUUAACCCAAGGCUUUUCUUUAGGCUGCAGGCACGACCCUUGUUUAAAGAUCAAAGCAAAUUCCCACAGAUGACUCAAUCCAAUAUUUUAGUGCCGUUAUCUUGCAAGAGGCCUAUUGUAAAUUCUCUGCUUCAGCGUCGGGUUAAAAGCCGGCAGUGGCGGAAUUAGGAUUCCGGAUUAGGAGUGGCUUGGGGAAAAAAUUGUAUGUGACAUAAGGUGGCGGAAGGCCGCAAAAUUUUUUGGGACGUUUUUCGAGUUAAUGGAUUCAAUAGUAGAUUUAUCUCCAAUCCAUUAGAUCACAUCAACUAAUCUUACCUAGGGUUUUCUUUCUUUUUUUUCCUCUUUGGUGCUCGACGAACAUCAGCAAAGAAAAUUUCUUCCUUCUCUCAGGCAUAAAUUUGCUUUAUCUUAAUCUUA